GGCAGGCCUAACACAUGCAAGUCGAACGGUAACAGGAAGCAGCUUGCUGCUUCGCUGACGAGUGGCGGACGGGUGAGUAAUGUCUGGGAAACUGCCUGAUGGAGGGGGAUAACUACUGGAAACGGUAGCUAAUACCGCAUAACGUCGCAAGACCAAAGAGGGGGACCUUCGGGCCUCUUGCCAUCGGAUGUGCCCAGAUGGGAUUAGCUAGUAGGUGGGGUAACGGCUCACCUAGGCGACGAUCCCUAGCUGGUCUGAGAGGAUGACCAGCCACACUGGAACUGAGACACGGUCCAGACUCCUACGGGAGGCAGCAGUGGGGAAUAUUGCACAAUGGGCGCAAGCCUGAUGCAGCCAUGCCGCGUGUAUGAAGAAGGCCUUCGGGUUGUAAAGUACUUUCAGCGGGGAGGAAGGCGAUAAGGUUAAUAACCUUGUCGAUUGACGUUACCCGCAGAAGAAGCACCGGCUAACUCCGUGCCAGCAGCCGCGGUAAUACGGAGGGUGCAAGCGUUAAUCGGAAUUACUGGGCGUAAAGCGCACGCAGGCGGUCUGUCAAGUCGGAUGUGAAAUCCCCGGGCUCAACCUGGGAACUGCAUUCGAAACUGGCAGGCUAGAGUCUUGUAGAGGGGGGUAGAAUUCCAGGUGUAGCGGUGAAAUGCGUAGAGAUCUGGAGGAAUACCGGGUGG
rnacentral:rRNA from 1 species